rnacentral:lncRNA from 1 species
GUGCUUGGUUUUCCAUUCUUGUGUCAGUUUGCUGAGAAUGAGGGUUUGCAGAUUCACCCAUGUCCCAACAAAGGACAUGAACUCAUCCUUUUUAUGGCUGCAUAGUAUUCUAUGGUAUAUAUGUGCCACAUUUUCCCUGUCCAGUCUAUCAUUAUUAUCAUUAUUAUUAUUAUUAUUAUUAUUAAUUUGCCAAGGUUAUCACUGGCUGGGCUUCAGCCACAAAAUCAUCCCUAAUUGAGGACACCUCAUGUCCACCAAUGAAGCCACCACCACCAUCAAGUGAUGAAUGACCCCUUGCCAGCAAUGUCUCCACUCUCCCUGCUCCCACUUUCCCCAGGCAACGGCCCAUCUGUUUCCCAUCAUUGUGGAUUCAGCUUACGUUUUCUAGGCUUUUACAGAGCUAGAAUCGCACAGCAGGUACCUCUGGGCGGGUCUGGGCUUCACUAAGCCGCGUGAUUUCGAGGCUGCCUCGGACUGUGUGAGUGUCCGCAAGGAUGACUGUGGGGCUCCGCGUUGCCUCCCGCUGCGUGGACGUUCCGUGCUUGGGUUCGCCUCCGCUGUUUCCGGUUUGUUCCCAGCUGUUUCCGGUUUGUUCCCAGCUGUUUCCGGUUUGGUCCCGCCUGUUUCCGGUUUGGGGCUGUGACAGGCAAAGCUGUUACAGCCAUGCUGAGACCUUCUGCGGACACGAGCUUCCAUUCCUCCCGGUGGAGUCUCACUUUGUCACCCAGGAUGGAGUACAUCAGCACGAUCUCCACUCACUGCAACCUCCACCUGCAGGGUUCAAGCAAUUCUCCUCCUCAGCCUCCAGAGUAGCUAGGACUGCAGAUCUUCACUGCCAGUUCUGCUCACUUGGAAGAAUUCUGAAUCUGCAGGGUGGGUCUGGGAGUGCUGGAGAACUGACCCAGAAUCUUGAAG